AAAUUCAUUAACAACCACUUAAGCAACACUAAAGGUUGCUAGCAAUAAACAUGCUCUAAGACACGUCUCUUAUGAGACACGUGUCUGUCAAACUGCGUCCCCUUCUCUCUCGAGACGAACAUGUCUACAGCCAAUGUCAGUGGCUCUGGUCGUCGCCGGAUUUCAUCUCCUUCCGCCUCUCUGUUUGCGCCGUCGCCGAUCUGAUCCCACAUGUCAGUUCUCUAGACUCUCUGUUUGCGCCGUCGCCACACAACCGGCACCAUCUUAUCCUGGUUCUAAUAAACCAACCUGAGAGGAAGAAGAUAUUGGGGAACGGGGAACCGAGUUGCUCCUCUGUUGCAAUCUCCCUUAGCUUGCUCAGUGCAGGCAACAGAACGGUAGCAAGAUCAGGGCUGUCCCUUUUCCGCAGCUCACAGCACGGUAAAGCACGUGUUUACUCUCUGUCUCUUGUUGGAAACCGUUUGGUUGUGGCAACAGCAGGAAGGCAUGUCAACAUCAGACGAGAUGUGUUCAUAUAUUGCUUUAUUUGGUUGUUGGCAACAUCCAGAGUUGCUAGUUUUUUUUUUCUUUUUCUCUAUUCCAAAGAUUGAUAUAUUUAAACUUGUUCUCAGAUAUGCUUUCAAAUGUCAUCGGAAAUCAGAGGCUGGAAGAGACAUUGUUUACCUUGUAAAUGUCAUUGCCUUUUAUCCAAUGUUUAGGCCUAGAGUUCUUGUUGAUGUGAGCAAAAUAGAUACGUCUACAAGCAUAUUGGGUUACCCUAUCUCAGCUCCAAAGAUGAAGAACUUUGAAGGUUUAUUUUCAACUGAACUCCAACCAGUGAAGGUUCAGGGAUUGAAGCCGUGGCCUCUCGUGCACUUGAUGCUUCCUUUAGUUGGAAGGGAGUGAAGGUUCAGUGUUGAUGUCAUCAUCUCUUGCAUUAACUUUGCAGUAGCAGUAGCCCUCCUAAAAUUCUCUAGAAGGGUAUGAUGGUAGUGUGUCUGCAUUGCUUAUCUUUCUAAUGUCUAGAGUUUUGUUGUUGUUUAUAAUGUUUUUAAAAACCCCAAAAAUAAGAGACUUGCAUUGGAGGUGCUAAUUGUAGGAGUCUCUUAGUUAUGUCUCUUAAUCUCACUUUAACUACUUAAAAGUAUUAAAAAAAUAUUAAGAGACCCAAGAAGGGGCUUUAGGAUAA